UGUUUGCACUUAGCGGGAAGGGUAAGAACCUUCGACUCGAGCGCCAGCGAGAGAACGUUGCCGCAGGCAACGGCCCGAAGGGCGAGGAGCGAUAGCGACGAGUUAUCCUUCCCCCACCACUA
rnacentral:sRNA from 1 species